rnacentral:rRNA from 1 species
AACGUAGGUACCGAGCGUUAUCCGGAUUCACUGGGCGUAAAGCGCGUGCAGGUGGUUUGGUAAGUCGGGCAUGAAAACUCUUGGCUCAACUGAGAGACGCUGUCCGAUACUGCCAGACUUGAGGGUGUAAGAGGGAGGUGGAAUUCCGCAUGUAGUGGUGAAAUGCGUAGAUAUGCGGAGGAACACCAGUGGCGAAGGCGGCCUCCUGGUACACUCCUGACACUCAGACGCGAAAGCUAGGGGAGCGAACGGG